GGGGCAGAGAAGAGAAACCAAAUACAAAAUAGUAAUAGCCCUUUGCCGCAGCAUAGAUCCAUACAAGAUUCCAAGUAUUUGACAACAGUGAUACCUUAUCACAUGGACAGUGGCCCACCUGAUAAUCAAGCUUUACAAGUCCUCAUUAAGAUAUUAAAGGCUAUUGAUGAGGAUAGUUCAACGGUGCCCACAUUAUUAACGGACUACAUAUUGAAAGUUCUGUGCCCCACCUAGUGAUCCACUAGUACAUAUCCUCCGACGUGACAUCGCUGUGCUACGUAUAAAGAAGAAAAGAUUUAUUAAGAUGCAGAUUGCUCCUCUCUUCUUGCCAUUGUGCUUUCAUAUAGCACCACAAUAAAUCUUAUAGAAAUGAGCUCUCAUCGAGAUUUCUCGGUAUUUCUAACUCGACGCGAGAAGGCAAAAAUCAAUGUAAUGCCAUCUGUAAGGUAAUUGGACUCGUAUUUGCACUACGAGAACU
rnacentral:lncRNA from 1 species